rnacentral:rRNA from 1 species
UUUCUAUGGAAGCUUGCUCCACUGAGAAGAUAGUGGCGAACGGGUGAGUAACACGUGGGUAACCUGCCCAUAAGAGGGGGAUAACAAUCCGGAAACGGGUGCUAAUACCGCAUAGUUUUCUUGAUCGCAUGAUUGAGAAAGGAAAGACGGCCUUUGUGCUGUCGCUUAUGGAUGGACCCGCGGCGUAUUAGUUAGUUGGUGAGGUAAUGGCUCACCAAGACGAUGAUACGUAGCCGACCUGAGAGGGUGAUCGGCCACAUUGGGACUGAGACACGGCCCAAACUCCUACGGGAGGCAGCAGUAGGGAAUCUUCCGCAAUGGACGAAAGUCUGACGGAGCAACGCCGCGUGAGUGGAAAGAAGGUUUUCGGAUCGUAAAACUCUGUUGUCAGAGAAGAACAAGUUGGAGAGUAACUGCUCCAGCCUUGACGGUAUCUGACCAGAAAGCCACGGCUAACUACGUGCCAGCCGCCGC